rnacentral:rRNA from 1 species
GACAGAGGGGGCAAGCGUUGCUCGGAAUUACUGGGCGUAAAGGGCGCGUAGGCGGGAUGGCAAGUCGGUCGUGAAAUCCCUCGGCUCAACCGAGGAACGUCGAUCGAUACUGCUGUUCUUGAGGAUUGCAGAGGAGACUGGAAUUCCCGGUGUAGCGGUGAAAUGCGUAGAGAUCGGGAGGAACAUCUGUGGCGAAGGCGACUGCCUGGACCAGCACUGACACUGAGGCACGAAAGCGUGGGGAGCAAACAGG